rnacentral:rRNA from 1 species
UACGUAGGGUGCAAGCGUUAAUCGGAAUUACUGGGCGUAAAGCGUGCGCAGGCGGUUUUGUAAGCCAGAUGUGAAAUCCCCGGGCUCAACCUGGGAAUGGCAUUUGGGACUGCAAGGCUGGAGUGCGGCAGAGGAGACUGGAAUUCCUGGUGUAGCAGUGAAAUGCGUAGAUAUCAGGAGGAAUACCGAUGGCGAAGGCAGGUCUCUGGGCUGACACUGACGCUCAUGCACGAAAGCGUGGGGAGCAAACAGG